rnacentral:lncRNA from 1 species
AUUGAUCUUCCCUUGGGGUGAAUGGAUGGAUGGAUGGAUAGGCUGCCACUGAUGAGUACACAGGCCGCUUCUUUCCUGAGGAAGACAGGUUGCAGAUCAAGAUCACGCAUGCUGAUUCGACUCAAUCUAUAGGAUCUGAACAGACUUCUUCACUGAGAAUCAGAAUGGGCAAGAUGGAUGAAUCAAGAAACAUGCGUACACACCAUACCUUCAUCUCAUCUUCCUUGACUUGGCAGGACAGGAGGAGGGAAUUCAGGAGAGGGGAAGAACACAAAGCCCAGAUCUCCUCCCCCUCUUUCUUUCCUGAGCACCACUCGCCAACUACCACGAAACCGUCCAAUAAACAAGAAAAGAAUUGAAGGCUGAGAGAGAUUUCUACGCGUACCAAUACUAGCAAUAAUUCCAGUCAAAGGGACAGCGAGAGGGAUGAACUCCGUCCAGAUUGGU